rnacentral:rRNA from 1 species
UACAGAGGCCUCAAGCGUUAGGCGGAAUCACUGGGCUUAAAGCGCGUGUAGGCGGAUCGUUAAGUGUCUUGUGAAAUCCCACGGCUCAACCGUGGAACUGCUGGACAUACUGGCGAUCUUGGGUCACUCAGGGGCAACUGGAACAAGCGGUGGAGCGGUGAAAUGCGUAGAUAUCAGGAGGAACACCAAUAGCGAAGGCAGCUCGCUGGGACGGUACUGACGCUAAGGCGCGAAAGCGUGGGGAGCGAACAGG